AUCCGUUUAUCCUGCGAAAGAUUGCUGCUAUCAGGCUCCGGCUAACACAUGCAAGUCAGCUUACCAUCGCAAGAUGGUUGGCGGCGAACUGCUCAGUAACACGUCGAUAACCUGCCUUAUAGUCUGGAAUAACCUUGGGAAACUGAGGCUAAAACCGGAUAAGAAAAAGAUACUGGGAUGUACUUUUUCACAAACGAAAGGCUAUAAGAUGGGUCGGCGGUGGAUUAGGCUGUUGGCGAGGUAAUGGCUCACCAAACCGAAGAUCCAUAAGGGCCUUGAGAGAGGUUGCCCUGAGAAGGAAACUGAGACACUUUUCCUAGCCCUAAGGGGUGCAGCAGUGGGGAAUACUUUACAAUGCGCGCAAGCGUGAUAAGGGGAUCCUGAGUGCUUAGGUAACACCUGAGCUUUUACCAAGAGCAAAUAUCUUGGCGAAUAAGUGGUGGGAAAGACUGGUGCCAGCCGCCGCGGUAACCCCAGCGCCACAAGUGGCAAUCGCGAUUAUUGGGUCUAAAGCGUCCGUAGCCUGACUGUUAAAUUUUCUGUGAAAUCGUUGCGCUCAACGUAACGGCGUGCAGAGAAGACUGACAGUCUUGAGACCGGGAGAGGUAGAAGGUAUUCCGUGGGGAGCGGUAAAAUGUUAUAAUCCUCGGAGGACCACCAAUGGCGAAGGCAUUCUACCAGAACGGGUCUGACGGUGAGGGACGAAAGCUAGGGGAGCAAACCGGAUUAGAUACCCGAGUAGUCCUAGCUGUAAACGCUGUGAGCAAGAUGUCACGUAAUCUUCGAGAUUGCGUGGUGUCGUCAUGAAGGUGUUAAGCUCACCACCUGGGAAUUACUAUCGCACGGCUGAAACCUAAAGGAAUUGGCGGGGGAGCACCACAACGGGCGCGGCGUGCGGUUCAAUCGAAUUCAACGCCAAGAAUCUCACCAGGGGCGACGGCAGUAUGAUGGCCAGUCUGAAGGGCUUGCUUGACGAGCCGAGAGGUGGUGCAUGGCCACCGUCAGCUCGUGCCGUGAGGUGUUCUCUUAAGUGGGACAACGAGCGAGACCUGUAUCUGCUGUUGCAAACGCGGGAGCAAUCCUGAGCGAGCACACUGCAGAGACUGCCUUGGAAACAAGGAGGAAGGCGCAGGCCACGGUAAGUCUGUAUGCCCCGAAUCUCCUGGGCUACACGCGCGCAACAAUGGUAAAGACAAUGGGAUGCAACUCCGAAAGGAGAAGCUAAUCCUCAAAACUUUACCCUAGUCCGGAUUGAGGAUUGAAACUCAUCCUCAUGACGCCGGAGUCCGUAGUAAUCAGAGGUUAUCAUCUUCUGGUGAAUAUGUCCCUGCUCCUUGCACACACUGCCCGUCAUAUCAACCGAGCAGGGUUUAGGUGAGUCUUUACUUUAUUGGUAAGUCCGAACCUAAGCUCAGUGAGGUGGGUCAAGUCGUCACAAGGUA
rnacentral:rRNA from 1 species